rnacentral:rRNA from 1 species
GCAUAUCAAUAAGCGGAGGAAAAGAAACCAACAGGGAUUCCCCUAGUACGGCGAGUGAAGCGGCAACAGCUCAAAUUUGAAAUCUGGCCUUCGGGUCCGAAUUGUAAUUUGUAGAGGAUGCUUUUGGCGAGGUGCCUUCCGAGUUCCCUGGAACGGGACGCCUUAGAGGGUGAGAGCCCCGUACGGUUGGACACCGAGCCUCUGUAAAGCUCCUUCGACGAGUCGAGUAGUUUGGGAAUGCUGCUCUAAAUGGGAGGUAAAUUUCUUCUAAAGCUAAAUACCGGCCAGAGACCGAUAGCGCACAAGUAGAGUGAUCGAAAGAUGAAAAGCACUUUGAAUUGAGGGUUAAAUAGCACGUGAAAUUGUUGAAAGGGAAGCGUUUACGGCCAGACCUUCUCCUGGCGGAUCAUCCGGUGUUCUCACCGGUGACUUCGCCAGGUUUAGGCCAGCAUCGGCUUCUGUAGGGGGAUAAAAGCAGUGGGAAAGUAUCUCUCUCGGGAGUGUUAUAGCCCUAAGCAUAAUACCCUUACGGGGGCCGAGGACCGCGCUUCGGCAAGGAUGCUGG